rfam:Pseudoxanthomonas indica strain P15 genome assembly, contig: Ga0138986_11
GCCGAAGUGGCGGAAUGGUAGACGCAGCGGACUCAAAAUCCGCCGCCCUUAAAAGCGUGUGGGUUCGAGUCCCACCUUCGGCA